rnacentral:rRNA from 1 species
CCUACGGGAGGCAGCAGUAGGGAAUCUUCCGCAAUGGACGAAAGUCUGACGGAGCAACGCCGCGUGAACGAUGAAGGCCUUCGGGUCGUAAAGUUCUGUUGUCAGGGAAGAACAAGUACCGGAGUAACUGCCGGUACCUUGGCGGUACCUGACCAGAAAGCCACGGCUAACUACGUGCCAGCAGCCGCGGUAAUACGUAGGUGGCAAGCGUUGUCCGGAAUUAUUGGGCGUAAAGCGCGCGCAGGCGGUCCUUUAAGUCUGAUGUGAAAGCCCACGGCUCAACCGUGGAGGGUCAUUGGAAACUGGGGGACUUGAGUACAGAAGAGGAAAGCGGAAUUCCACGUGUAGCGGUGAAAUGCGUAGAGAUGUGGAGGAACACCAGUGGCGAAGGCGGCUUUCUGGUCUGUAACUGACGCUGAGGCGCGAAAGCGUGGGGAGCAAACAGGAUUAGAUACCCUGGUAGUCCACGCCGUAAACGAUGAGUGCUAAGUGUUAGGGGGUUUCCGCCCCUUAGUGCUGCAGCUAACGCAUUAAGCACUCCGCCUGGGGAGUACGGCCGCAAGGCUGAAACUCAAAGGAAUUGACGG